ACGUACCUCCUACGGGAGGCAGCAGUGGGGAAUAUUGGACAAUGGGCGCAAGCCUGAUCCAGCCAUGCCGCGUGAGUGAUGAAGGCCCUAGGGUUGUAAAGCUCUUUCACCGGUGAAGAUAAUGACGGUAACCGGAGAAGAAGCCCCGGCUAACUUCGUGCCAGCAGCCGCGGUAAUACGAAGGGGGCUAGCGUUGUUCGGAUUUACUGGGCGUAAAGCGCACGUAGGCGGACUAUUAAGUCAGGGGUGAAAUCCCGGGGCUCAACCCCGGAACUGCCUUUGAUACUGGUAGUCUUGAGUUCGAGAGAGGUGAGUGGAAUUCCGAGUGUAGAGGUGAAAUUCGUAGAUAUUCGGAGGAACACCAGUGGCGAAGGCGGCUCACUGGCUCGAUACUGACGCUGAGGUGCGAAAGCGUGGGGAGCAAACAGGAUUAGAAACCCGAGUAGUCCCAUGA
rnacentral:rRNA from 1 species